rnacentral:rRNA from 1 species
UACGAAGGGGGCUAGCGCUGUUCGGAAUCACUGGGCGUAAAGGGCGCGUAGGCGGCUUUAUAAGUCGGGGGUGAAAGCCUGUGGCUCAACCACAGAAUUGCCUUCGAUACUGUAGAGCUUGAGACCGGAAGAGGUAAGUGGAACUGCGAGUGUAGAGGUGAAAUUCGUAGAUAUUCGCAAGAACACCAGUGGCGAAGGCGGCUUACUGGUCCGGUUCUGACGCUGAGGCGCGAAAGCGUGGGGAGCAAACAGG